CCACAGGAGCCGGGCACGGCCAGGGGCGAGUCCCUGCAGGGCCCCCACCGUGCUCAGCACCACCUGGGUGACCUUGGGCUCUGCUCCCAGCCCUCCGCGCCUCCGCCCCGCAGCCCUCCCGCCUGCCUCAGUUUCCCCAGGAUCAUCCCUGCCCACCCCGUUCCCUGCUGCGGGGGGCUCCUGGGGACAAGGGGACAGUGCUGGGGGGGCUCCUGGGGACAAGGGGACCCGGGCAGGGGGGGGCUGCAGGAUGCGGCCGCCGCCACCACCGUGCUGCUGGCCGGGCCUCCCGCCCGCGCUGCGUCCUCCUUCCCCGCGCCUCCCGUGUCUCACGGUGACGUCAGCCCGGCGGAGCCAGCAGCUAUUUCGGGAUCUGCAAAGUCACUGGUGCAAUUAGUCCGCUGGCCAAGGCACACAGCGCUGGGGGGGCCGCAGGGCCGGCUGCCCCCACUGCGCCGGGGGGUGGUCUGCACGGCCGCAGCCCUUGGGUGCCCGGAGGUCGGAGCCUCUCCUCGUCCCUGCAGGCCCAAGGGCUCCCUGCCGCGGCUGCAGAUCCUCCCAUCUAUCAUCUCCUCUCCCGUGGGUUGUGGGAUUUAUUUUUUUUUUUCCUUUCCCCCCCCCACUCCCUUCCCACCCGUUCCCCUGGCGGGAGCCACCCCACGUGGGCUGCCGAGCGCUGGCGACAUCCAGCCCGCGGCCGCCCCGCAGCCUGCGCCGGCAUCGCCUUCCUCCGGGGAGAGGCACGGGAGCAGUGAGCUGGUGGCAACGUGGGGACGUGUCCCCCCCAGGACGAUGUCCUGGCACAGCCUGAGGGCAGGGGGCUGCGGCUGGGAGGGCACCGGGGGGGGGUCUGGGCUCUGCCUCCAGCUUCGGUGGGGUUUGGGGGCUGGCACCUGCCCCAAAUUCCCCCUCCCGGUGCUGCUCCUGUGCUCCCCGUGUGUUGCAGGGGUCCUGUGCCUUGUUUCAGCUGAUUUAGGGUGGUGGAGUGAUUUAGUGGGGAGGGCUGAUUUAGGGUUGGGGGGUGAUUUAGGACAGGGGGCUGAUUUAGGGUGGUGGGCACCCCCCUCCCGUGCAGGAUCAGCCCCUUCAGAGCUCCAUCUCCCCCGCUACCGCGGCUCCAAGGGGCUGUCCUUGUCCCCAGUGGGCUGUCCCCUUUUGUCACCUUCAUUAAGGACACCCGCAAGGCUCCCUGCGGGUGACAGCUGCUGUCAGGGUCAGGCCGGGCGCUCGCCUCUGCCUUGUGCUUUGUCCUGGGGACGUGCCACGUGCUGCUGUCACGGCGGAGGGACGCCCGUCCCCGGCACACAGCACAAUGAGUGA
rnacentral:lncRNA from 1 species